CUUGGCACUAAGAGCCGAUGAAAGACGUGAUAAGCUGCGAAAAGCUUCGGGGAGGAGCAAAUAUCCAUUGAUCCGGAGAUAUCUGAAUGGGGAAACCCGGCUGAGAAGACCUCAGUCAUCCAUACGCCAAUACAUAACGUAUGGAAGGGAACCCGCUGAACUGAAACAUCUAAGUAGGCGGAGGAAGAGAAAGAAACAUCGAUUCCCAAAGUAGCGGCGAGCGAAAUGGGAAGAGCCCAAACCAGAGUGCGUGCACUCUGGGGUUACGGACUGCAUAAGUGAGCUGAUUCGUUAAUGGAACGGUCCUGGAAAGACCGGCCAGAGAGAGUGAAAGCCUCGUACAUGAAAACGAUAAGCAGCGGCAGGAUCCAGAGUACCGCGAGACACGUGGAACCUUGCGGGAAUUCGGGGGGACCACCCCCCAAGGCUAAAUACUCCUUAGUGACCGAUAGCGCAUAGUACUGUGAAGGAAAGGUGAAAAGGACCCCGGGAGGGGAGUGAAAGAGAACCUGAAACCCUGUGUUUACAAGCUGUGGAAGCACGUUAAGGUGCAACCGCGUACUUUUUGUAGAACGGUCCGGCGAGUUGCGGAUGCUGGCGAGGUUAAGGAGUAAAGCUCCGGAGCCGAAGCGAGAGCGAGUCUUAAUAGGGCGUAAAGUCAGCAUGUGCAGACCCGAAACCGGGUGACCUAUCCAUGUCCAGGUUGAAGUUCCCGUAAAAGGGAAUGGAGGACCGAACGCACAUCCGUUGAAAAGGGUGGCGAUGAGGUGUGGAUAGGGGAGAAAUUCCAAUCGAACCCGGAGAUAGCUGGUUCUCCUCGAAAUAGCUUUAGGGCUAGCCUCGUAUUAGUUUAGCGGAGGUAGAGCACUGAAUUUCCUAGGGGGCGUCAAAGUCUACCGAAGAAUAUCAAACUCCGAAUGCCGCAUAAAUGAUGUACGGGAGUCAGACUGCACGAGAUAAGUUGGGUAGUCAAAAGGGAAAGAGCCCAGACCUACAGCUAAGGUCCCAAAGUGUGUGUUAAGUGGAAAAGGAUGUGGGAUUUCGAAGACAACUAGGAUGUUGGCUCAGAAGCAGCCACACAUUCAAAGAGUGCGUAAUAGCUCACUAGUCGAGAGGUCCUGCGCCGAAAAUGUCCGGGGCUAAAACACAACACCGAAGCUUAGGAAUGUAAUUAUACAUUGGUAGAGGAGCAUUCUUAAAGAGACGAAGCAGUACCGAUAAGGAGCUGUGGAUUUUUAAGAAGAGAGAAUGCCGGAAUGAGUAGCGAGAUGGAGGUGGGAAUCCUCCAGGCCGAAUAUCUAAGGUUUCCAGAGUAAAGCUGAUCUGCUCUGGGUAAGUCGGGGCCUAAGGCGAGGUCGAAAGACGUAGUCGAUGGAUAACAGGUUGAAAUUCCUGUACUGCAUAUCAUCAGAACUGUGGGGACACAGAGAGAUACCGGAACCUGGGAAUGAAGAUACCAGGGCAAGCGAGGUAGGUGCUAAGCUGGCAAAACCGCUUAGUAAGCCGAAGACGUGAUGCGGAGCGAAUUAAAGUAGUGAAGUCCGGGAUUCGAGCUGUCGAGAAAAGCCGCUAUUGUGUGAUAUGUACCCGUACCGUAAACCGACACAGGUGGAUGAGGAGAGAAUCCUAAGGCCGGCGGGAGAAGCAUUGUUAAGGAACUCGGCAAAAUGACCCUGUAACUUCGGGAUAAAGGGUGCCACAGAGAUGUGGCCGCAGAGAA
rnacentral:rRNA from 1 species